rnacentral:rRNA from 1 species
GAUCCUGGCUCAGGAUUAACGCUGGCGGCGUGCCUAAUACAUGCAAGUCGAAUGGUAGCAAUACCAUGGCGAACGGGUGAGUAACACGUAGGUAACCUGUCUUUAAGCCGAGGAUAACCAUUGGAAACGAUGGAUAAUACUGGAUAGGACAUUUGAAGGCAUCUUUAGAUGUUUAAAGAUUUAUCACUUAGAGAGGGGCCUGCGGCGCAUUAGCUAGUUGGUGAGGUGAAGGCUUACCAAGGCGAUGAUGCGUAGCCGGACUGAGAGGUUGAACGGCCACAAUGGAACUGAGAACGGUCCAUACUCCUACGGGAGGCAGCAGUAGGGAAUUUUCGGCAAUGGGCGGAAGCCCUGACCGAGCAACGCCGCGUGAACGAAGAAGUAUUUCGGUAUGUAAAGUUCUUUUAUUAGGGACGAAAAGACAGAUUGACGGUACCUAAUGAAUAAGCUCCGGCUAACUACGUGCCAGCCGCCGC